rnacentral:rRNA from 1 species
AGAACGAACGCUGGCGGCAGGCCUCAAACAUGCAAGUCUAGGGGGGGUAGCAAUACCCACCGGCGGACGGGUGCGUAACACGUGGGAAUAUACCUUUCGGUACGGAACAACUGCGGGAAACUGCAGCUAAUACCGUAUACGUCCUAACGGAGAAAGAUUUAUCGCCGAAGGAUUAGCCCGCGUCCGAUUAGCUAGUUGGUGAGGUAAUGGCUCACCAAGGCUCCGAUCGGUAGCUGUUCUGAGAGGAAGAUCAGCCACACUGGGACUGAGACACGGCCCAGACUCCUACGGGAGGCAGCAGUUGGGAAUCUUGGACAAUGGGGGAAACCCUGAUCCAGCCAUGCCGCGUGAGUGAUGAAGGCCUUGGGUUGUAAAACUCUUUCGACGGGGACGAUAAUGACGGUACCCGUAGAAGAGCUCCGGCUAACUUCGUGCCAGCAGCCGC